rnacentral:rRNA from 1 species
GACGAACGCUGGCGGCGUGCUUAACACAUGCAAGUCGAACGGAAAGGCCCUGCUUUUGUGGGGUGCUCGAGUGGCGAACGGGUGAGUAACACGUGAGUAACCUGCCCUUGACUUUGGGAUAACUUCAGGAAACUGGGGCUAAUACCGGAUAGGAGCUCCUGCUGCAUGGUGGGGGUUGGAAAGUUUCGGCGGUUGGGGAUGGACUCGCGGCUUAUCAGCUUGUUGGUGGGGUAGUGGCUUACCAAGGCUUUGACGGGUAGCCGGCCUGAGAGGGUGACCGGCCACAAUGGGACUGAGAGACGGCCCAGACUCCUACGGGAGGCAGCAGUGGGGAAUAUUGCACAAUGGGCGGAAGCCUGAGGCAGCAACGCCGCGUGCGGGAUGACGGCCUUCGGGUUGUAAACCGCUGUCGCCUGUGACGAAGCGGGAGUGACGGUAAUGGGUAAAGAAGCACCGGCUAACUACGUG